ensembl:lncRNA LINC01524 long intergenic non-protein coding RNA 1524
CUUCCGCUUCUGCUGUCUUGAUGACGCACAGUGCUGGCGCAAGUCGUCUUGCGCCAGGCGACUGGGUCUGAGGAGGCAGGAGUUAUUCAUUCCCUUAAGCUUUCAGGCCGGGGGGAGAAUCUUUCAGGUGGUAGCUGCAAGAACUCUUAGUAUGUUGACCUCACCUCUGCCUUCCACAUACCACUACCAGUGAGGAAUUAGGAAUGCAUGAGAAGAGUGUCCAAGAAGAGUGUCCUCAUUCAUGCAAGGCUUAAGAGAGAAUGCAGGUCAACAUCACCAUGUCAAUCAGAGGUGCAGAUGCUGAGAGCACUUUCUAGUCAAGUCCUGCAUGUUCAUUUCUGUCUCAAGUCAGCUUCUCUGAGAAUCCAAUUUAUAAAAAUAUAUUUGUGAAUGUAUAAGUAAAGUGACUUGGAUUUUGUCUACGUACAAGGACUUCUAUGCCUGCAUAAAACAGAACCUUGUACAGUCCUGAGAAUGAGCCUGGACCAACUUGCUAGAAGAUGAGAAUGGGUAUGAAAGAGAGCUGAGUCCUUCCUACACAGGACAUCGUAGACCAGCCACCUCCAGCCAGCCUGCUAGUUGACCAAGGUGCAUAGGUCAGCUCUGCCUGAUAGAAGUUGGGCCUUAGUCCAGAGGACAUACUAAGCCAAUCUACAGACUUGUAAACUAAAACAAAUGGACAUUGCUUUAAACCACUGAGUUCUGUGGUUGUUUGUGAUAUAGAAUUAUUAUGGUAAUAGAUAACUGGUACAUGAUGGAAAUGCUACAAUUCUGGAAAUCUAAGUGUCCUGACCUUAGAUUUGUGUUAGGAAUCUCAAAAUCACAUAAAGCAAUGUAACUUUAUUUUUCUUUAACCAAAUGUGUUUUAUCUUCUGAGCCCCUAUUCUAUUAGGAGGUGGGAAAUUAUUUGUUUGUUUGUUUUUAAGACAAAGUCUUGCUCUGUCACCCAGGCUGGAGUGCAGUGGCACAAUCACAGCUCACUGUAGUGUCAACCUCCUGGGCUCAAGCAUUCUUCCACCUUAGCCUCCCAAGUAGCUGAGACUACAGAUGCAUGCUACCAUGCCUGGCUAAUUUUUAAUUUUUUUUGUAGAGAUGGGUCUCACUAUGAUGCUCAGGCUGUUCUCAAACUUCUGGGCUCAAGUGAUCCUCCUUCCUUGGCAUCCCAAAGAGCUGGGAAUACAGGCAUGAGCCACCAUGACCUGCCAGAAGUUAGUUAUUUAAUUUCCAGUUAAUUCCAGAUAAUCUAGAUCAAUAUGUUUAUGUUAUCUUUAUGUAAAUUUUCAUCAAUAACUCCUGUUCUUCUCUUCCUCUGGGUGCAUGAGAAGAUGGCACUUCCUUACCUCCUUGAAGUUAGGUAUGACAAUAUGACAGUUUCCCCCAAUGCAAUGUGAGCAGAAAUGAGUCACUUCUGGGUGGAAGCAUUGAAGAGUUUGUAUGCAAUUGUCCGUGUUCUCUCUUCCUUUACCUUCGGUUGUGGAAGGACAUAUUGACAGACAAAUACCUCAAAAUUGAAGUAGCCUCAGAUGCUGUGCUGCCACAUGAAUCACAGAUUCCCCAGAGAGUUUUCUGGGCCUAGAGUUGGCUUUUCAUGAACAAGAAUAAGCCUUCAUUUCCAGCCAUUAAAGUUUGGGACUGUUUGUUACCACA